rnacentral:rRNA from 1 species
AAUCAACGCUGGCGGCGUGCCUCAGACAUGCAAGUCGAACGAUUAAACUUUCCUUCGGGAAAGAUAUAAAGUGGCGCACGGGUGAGUAACACGUAGGUAAUGUGCCUUUGGGUGGGGAAUAACUUAGGGAAACUUAAGCUAAUACCGCAUAAUGCGAUAUUUUCUUCGGAAGAUUUUGUUUAAAGAUUUAUCGCCUGAAGAGCAGCCUGCGGCAGAUUAGCUAGUUGGUAAGGUAACGGCUACCAAGGCUACGAUCUGUAUCCGACCUGAGGAGGGUGGUCGGACACACUGACACUGAAUAACGGGU